rnacentral:lncRNA from 1 species
CAACUUUUUCACUCUCCUCUUUCACUUUCAUCAAGAGGCUGUUUAGUUCCACUUCACAUGGAUGGCAAAGGGAUUCAAUGAAAGAUAUUGUGAAGAGUAUUUUGUGUUCACUGCCCAGUAUCUGUUCUCUUUCAUUCUGAUAAUAUAAUCAUAAUUUAUAUUAUAAAAUUGAAAUAUUUCAAAUUUUCUCUGGGAAACCAACCCUACCCCAUUCUCAGGCAGGUGACUUGGGUGGGACUGAUGCCUCCUGUGACUCCCAGGAGUCAUCUGUAAGGUUUUGAUUAAACAGCUUCUUUCUUCUGACAGGUAAUCAGGUUGGUGACAAGGGCAUAACCAAGAAGAAAUAGGUUGAGCUCUUGGGGAAAAGCAACUCACUUGCUUACUAAAGCUGCCAUUACACAGAACUCGGCAAUGGAGCUAUCCCCAAAGAGACAAAGCUGAUGCGUGCAUCCUCAUGACAUUGUUUUGUGUGCCCUGGUGUCUGCAAAAUCUGUGGUAUGUAGCAGAGAGCUCCAGACAUGUAGACAACUGUCCUCAGGUACAUUAUGAUUCACACUUUAAUUGAAUCCCACUUGCUAGUAAAUGCUAUAAUCAAAAGUUAAAUGGAAUAAAAAACCUAUUAACUCUUUUAAAA